GCUGGGGAUGGUGGCACGUGCCUGUAGUCCCAGCUACUGGGGAGGCUGAGGCAGGAGGAUCGCUUGGGCCCAGGAAUUCUGAGGCUGCAGUGAGAUUGUGCCACUAUACUCUAGCCUGGGCAACACAGUGAGACCCUGUCUCUC
ensembl:misc_RNA Metazoa_SRP Metazoan signal recognition particle RNA